rnacentral:rRNA from 1 species
UAUCACCCAAGACAACUUUACGGAGUUGACGAUUGACGGAGCGAAGCGACGUCAAAGCGUUCAUUAAAGUCGAGUUGGCUUAGGGAUACGUUCGUUGGGUAGGGGAGCGUUCUGUAAGCCUGCGAAGGUGGCCUGUGAGGGUUGCUGGAGGUAUCAGAAGUGCGAAUGCUGACAUAAGUAACGAUAAAGCGGGUGAAAAGCCCGCUCGCCGGAAGACCAAGGGUUCCUGUCCAACGUUAAUCGGGGCAGGGUGAGUCGACCCCUAAGGCGAGGCCGAAAGGCGUAGUCGAUGGGAAACGGGUUAAUAUUCCCGUACUUGGUGUUACUGCGAAGGGGGGACGGAGAAGGCUAUGUUGGCCGGGCGACGGUUGUCCCGGUUUAAGCGUGUAGGUGUGUGUUCCAGGUAAAUCCGGUUCACUUUAACACUGAGGCGUGACGACGAGGCACUACGGUGCUGAAGCAACAAAUGCCCUGCUUCCAGGAAAAGCCUCUAAGCAUCAGGUAACACGAAAUCGUACCCCAAACCGACACAGGUGGUCAGGUAGAGAAUACCAAGGCGCUUGAGAGAACUCGGGUGAAGGAACUAGGCAAAAUGGUGCCGUAACUUCGGGAGAAGGCACGCUGACACGUAGGUGAAGUGAUUUACUCAUGGAGCUGAAGUCAGUCGAAGAUACCAGCUGGCUGCAACUGUUUAUUAAAAACACAGCACUGUGCAAACACGAAAGUGGACGUAUACGGUGUGACGCCUGCCCGGUGCCGGAAGGUUAAUUGAUGGGGUCAGCGCAAGCGAAGCUCCUGAUCGAAGCCCCGGUAAACGGCGGCCGUAACUAUAACGGUCCUAAGGUAGCGAAAUUCCUUGUCGGGUAAGUUCCGACCUGCACGAAUGGCGUAAUGAUGGCCAGGCUGUCUCCACCCGAGACUCAGUGAAAUUGAACUCGCUGUGAAGAUGCAGUGUACCCGCGGCAAGACGGAAAGACCCCGUGAACCUUUACUAUAGCUUGACACUGAACAUUGAGCCUUGAUGUGUAGGAUAGGUGGGAGGCUUUGAAGUGUGGACGCCAGUCUGCAUGGAGCCGACCUUGAAAUACCACCCUUUAAUGUUUGAUGUUCUAACGUGGACCCGUAAUCCGGGUUGCGGACAGUGUCUGGUGGGUAGUUUGACUGGGGCGGUCUCCUCCUAAAGAGUAACGGAGGAGCACGAAGGUUGGCUAAUCCUGGUCGGACAUCAGGAGGUUAGUGCAAUGGCAUAAGCCAGCUUGACUGCGAGCGUGACGGCGCGAGCAGGUGCGAAAGCAGGUCAUAGUGAUCCGGUGGUUCUGAAUGGAAGGGCCAUCGCUCAACGGAUAAAAGGUACUCCGGGGAUAACAGGCUGAUACCGCCCAAGAGUUCAUAUCGACGGCGGUGUUUGGCACCUCGAUGUCGGCUCAUCACAUCCUGGGGCUGAAGUAGGUCCCAAGGGUAUGGCUGUUCGCCAUUUAAAGUGGUACGCGAGCUGGGUUUAGAACGUCGUGAGACAGUUCGGUCCCUAUCUGCCGUGGGCGCUGGAGAACUGAGGGGGGCUGCUCCUAGUACGAGAGGACCGGAGUGGACGCAUCACUGGUGUUCGGGUUGUCAUGCCAAUGGCACUGCCCGGUAGCUAAAUGCGGAAGAGAUAAGUGCUGAAAGCAUCUAAGCACGAAACUUGCCCCGAGAUGAGUUCUCCCUGAGACUUAG